rnacentral:rRNA from 1 species
GAGGCAGCAGUGAGGAAUAUUGGUCAAUGGGCGUAAGCCUGAACCAGCCAAGUCGCGUGAGGGAAGACGGUCCUACGGAUUGUAAACCUCUUUUGCCGGGGAGCAACGGGGUCCUUGCGAGGGCCCUAUGAGAGUACCCGGAGAAAAAGCAUCGGCUAACUCCGUGCCAGCAGCCGCGGUAAUACGGAGGAUGCGAGCGUUGUCCGGAUUUAUUGGGUUUAAAGGGUGCGUAGGCGGGCUGUUAAGUCAGCGGUCAAAUGUCGGGGCUCAACCCCGGCCUGCCGUUGAAACUGGCGGCCUCGAGUGGGCGAGAAGUAUGCGGAAUGCGUGGUGUAGCGGUGAAAUGCAUAGAUAUCACGCAGAACUCCGAUUGCGAAGGCAGCAUACCGGCGCCCUACUGACGCUGAGGCACGAAAGCGUGGGUAUCGAACAGGAUUAGAUACCCUGGUAGUCCACGCAGUAAACGAUGAAUGCUAGCUGUCCGGGACUUCGGUUCUGG